AAAAAUUAAGUUAGCUGCCCAGCCCAUUUAAACCAUUACAUAGCCCAAUAUGUUAAUAUGAUAAGAGACGGUUCAGGUUAUAUCCCUUUAUCGAUCCCGUGUCUCUGAAAAUCACUCAUCCUCCCUAACCCUAAGCGCCGUCUCAGACCCUUUGUCGAUUCUCUUCCUCUCCCCCACCUUCCUAAACGCUCCCAGUUAAUCUCCUUUAUCAAGCGUACAAAGAAUCUUCGUAACUGUCUUCAGAUGCUGCUGUUGCGCAAUGCCUUCGACGCUCUUCGCCUCGGUCGAUCGUCGCAGUUCGUUAUCGCUCGGCUUCUCCGUUUUUGGGACUCGGAAAGUAUGAAGAACAUGGUGAAUUCAUAGAAUCACUCUACUUAUCCUUGAUGAGAAGGACCUCCUAUAGUCUCAAAGAGACUGAUGUGGCUGUAUUGGAAUCUUGACCCAUAAGGUGAUGAUUACUCUUUACGCACAGAUGGUGAUACCAUGCAUAGUUUGAUCAAACUCCGUUUAGGUUUUCUUUAGGGAAACAAAUGAAGGUAAAAAGCCAAGAGCAGAAACUAGCUGUGCCGGAACCAGCAUUGAUCAAGGACCUUGAUUCAAGGAAGAGAGAAUAUCCUUUUUGAGCAAUGGCUCGAUUGAUCAAGGAGAAACAGUGUUUUUCUAAAGCAAUGGGUACUGAAAACCUCCCCUUAAGUUGCAUUAAAGAAGCCAUCAUCAUUGAUGAAAGGAAAGAGCCUGCUAUAUUGAUGACGAUUGUGAUCACAGAGAAAGACACAAAGAAAUUUGAGCUUGGAUUCAGCAGGUGGUGGUAGCCAACAAGAUGAUACAAUCGUUGAGAGAUGUAACCCAUUGAGAGGAGAGAUAUAAGAAGCUCAUGAUUUGGUUUAAAAGAUGAGAUAUAAGAAGCUCGUGAUUUGGUUUAACAGAUGACAUAUAUAAGAGUUGAGGUUAAGUAGAAAUGUUAACCUUUGUGUUACGGUCAUUUGUUUGUCUUUUUCUGUCUCUGCAAUACAAACAGCUUUUACUCUGUUGUUUUUCCUUUUGGUUUCAGUUUGAAGCAAAAGCUAUGAAUCUGUCAUUUGUGUCAUCUGAGAUUAGACUUUUUGUUUGUAAUUGAUUAUUGUUUCUUUGGCAGCAAACAAAGCCUUGGAUUUUAAA